rnacentral:rRNA from 1 species
CGGGUGAGUAACACGUGGGUAACCUGCCUGUAAGACCGGGAUAACUUCGGGAAACCGAAGCUAAUACCGGAUAGUUUCGAGCAUCGCAUGAUGCUUGAUGGAAAGACGGUUUCGGCUGUCACUUACAGAUGGACCCGCGUCGCAUUAGCUAGUUGGUGAGGUAAUGGCUCACCAAGGCGACGAUGCGUAGCCGACCUGAGAGGGUGAUCGGCCACACUGGGACUGAGACACGGCCCAGACUCCUACGGGAGGCAGCAGUAGGGAAUCUUCGGCAAUGGGCGAAAGCCUGACCGAGCAACGCCGCGUGAGCGAUGAAGGCCUUCGGGUCGUAAAGCUCCGUCGUUAAGGAAGAACAAGUACGAGAGUAACUGCUCGUACCUUGACGGUACUUAACGAGAAAGCCACGGCUAACUACGUGCCAGCAGCCGCGGUAAUACGUAGGUGGCGAGCGUUAUCCGGAAUUAUUGGGCGUAAAGCGCGCGCAUGCGGCUUCUUAAGUCUGAUGUGAAAGCCCACGGGUCAACCGUGGAGGGUCAUUGGAAACUGGGAAACUUGAGUG